GAUGAACGCUGGCGGCGUGCCUAAUACAUGCAAGUCGAGCGAACGGACGAGAAGCUUGCUUUUCUGAUGUUAGCGGCGGACGGGUGAGUAACACGUGGAUAACCUACCUAUAAGACUGGGAUAACUUCGGGAAACCGGAGCUAAUACCGGAUAAUAUUUUGAACCGCAUGGUUCAAAAGUGAAAGACGGUCUUGCUGUCACUUAUAGAUGGAUCCGCGCUGCAUGGGCUAGUUGGUAAGGUAACGGCUUACCAAGGCAACGAUGCAUAGCCGACCUGAGAGGGUGAUCGGCCACACUGGAACUGAGACACGGUCCAGACUCCUACGGGAGGCAGCAGUAGGGAAUCUUCCGCAAUGGGCGAAAGCCUGACGGAGCAACGCCGCGUGAGUGAUGAAGGUCUUCGGAUCGUAAAACUCUGUUAUUAGGGAAGAACAUAUGUGUAAGUAACUGUGCACAUCUUGACGGUACCUAAUCAGAAAGCCACGGCUAACUACGUG
rnacentral:rRNA from 1 species